rnacentral:rRNA from 1 species
UACGUAGGGGGCAAGCGUUGUCCGGAUUUAUUGGGCGUAAAGAGCGUGUAGGCGGCCAUGUAGGUCCGUUGUGAAAACUCGAGGCUCAACCUCGAGACGCCGAUGGAAACCAUGUGGCUAGAGUCCGGAAGAGGAGAGUGGAAUUCCUGGUGUAGCGGUGAAAUGCGCAGAUAUCAGGAAGAACACCCGUGGCUAAGGCGGCUCUCUAGUACGGUACUGACGCUGAUGCACGAAAGCGUGGGGAGCAAACAGG